GUGAGGAAUUUUCCGCAAUGGGCGAAAGCCUGACGGAGCAAUGCCGCGUGAAGGAUGAAGGCCUAUGGGUUGUAAACUUCUUUUCUCAGAAAAGAAUUAUGACGGUAUCUGAGGAAUAAGCAUCGGCUAACUCUGUGCCAGCAGCCGCGGUAAGACAGAGGAUGCAAGCGUUAUCCGGAAUGAUUGGGCGUAAAGCGUCUGUAGGUUGUUUAAAAAGUAUUCUGUCAAAGAUUAGGGCUUAACCCUAGAUAGGCAGAAUAAACUUUUAAGCUAGAGUGUGGUAGAGGCAGAGGGAAUUCCCGGUGGAGCGGUGAAAUGCGUAGAUAUCGGGAGGAACACCAAAGGCGAAGGCACUCUGCUGGGCCAAUACUAACACUGAGAGACGAAAGCGAGGGGAGCAAACGGGAUUAGAAACCCCUGUAGUCC
rnacentral:rRNA from 1 species